CGAACGCUGGCGGCGUGCUUAACACAUGCAAGUCGAACGCGAAAGGGACUUGGUCCUGAGUAAAGUGGCGCACGGGUGAGUAACGCGUAGAUAACCUGUCUUCAUGUCUGGAAUAAUACGCCAAAGGGGUACUAAUACCGGAUAUCUUGCUUUUCAUAAGUUAUGCAAGCAAAGGUGGCCUCUGCAUAUGCUACUGCAUGAAGAGGGGUCUGCGUACCAUUAGCUAGUAGGUGGGGUAAUGGCCUACCUAGGCGACGAUGGUUAGCGGGUCUGAGAGGAUGAUCCGCCACACUGGCACUGGAACACGGGCCAGACUCCUACGGGAGGCAGCAGUGAGGAAUAUUGCGCAAUGGGGGAAACCCUGACGCAGCGACGCCGCGUGAGUGAGGAAAAGGCCUUCGGGUCGUAAAGCUCUGUCAAGAGGAAAGAAGUGUACAAUGGCUAAUACCUGUUGUAUUUGACGGUACCUCUAAAGGAAGCACCGGCUAACUCCGUGCCAGCAGCAGC
rnacentral:rRNA from 1 species